rnacentral:rRNA from 1 species
ACGGAAGGCAGCAGUGGGGAAUAUUGCACAAUGGGGGAAACCCUGAUGCAGCGACGCCGCGUGAGUGAAGAAGUAUUUCGGUAUGUAAAGCUCUAUCAGCAGGAAAGAAAAUGACGGUACCUGACUAAGAAGCCCCGGCUAACUACGUGCCAGCAGCCGCGGUAAUACGUAGGGGGCAAGCGUUAUCCGGAUUUACUGGGUGUAAAGGGAGCGUAGACGGCUUUGCAAGUCUGAAGUGAAAGCCCGGGGCUCAACCCCGGAACUGCUUUGGAAACUGUUAAGCUAGAGUGCAGAAGAGGUAAGUGGAAUUCCUAGUGUAGCGGUGAAAUGCGUAGAUAUUAGGAGGAACACCAGUGGCGAAGGCGGCUUACUGGACUGUAACUGACGCUGAGGCGCGAAAGCGUGGGGAGCAAACAGGAUUAGAUACCCUGGUA